CAGCACCUCCAAAUCGGAAUCUCAAGUGGACACGCUCCUCCCUCAGCAGCAGCGGUCCCUCCAGUAAACACAGGCCGACGGUUGCGCUUUGUCAGCGAGAUAUUCUUUUGCGUCGUCUAUGGAUACCGAUAACGAAGAAGUUGCAAUGAAAGACUCCAAAAGACGAGAGCGUCAAUCAGGUUCAAGCAGGUAUGCUUUACAUGAUGUUGAAGCUUUGGAGGACUCAGACUCUGACAUCGGCUUGUGUGGCUGGCUGUUGGUCGCACUCUCCAUUCUUCUCAUGCUGGUUACUCUGCCCAUCUCCGUAUGGAUGUGCAUCAAGAUUGUGAAGGAGUACGAGCGAGCCAUUAUCUUUCGCCUGGGGCGCAUUUUGCGAGGAGGAGCCAAAGGUCCAGGGCUGUUCUUCAUCUUGCCGUGCACUGACAGCUUUAUUAAUGUGGACAUGCGCAUCAUCACCUUCGACAUCCCACCGCAAGAGGUUUUGACCAAAGACUCUGUGACAGUGAGUGUAGAUGGUGUGGUGUACUACCGGGUACAGAAUGCUACCCUGGCUGUGGCUAACAUCACUAAUGCAGAUGCUGCUACCCGGCUGUUGGCCCAGACCACCCUGAGGAACGUCCUAGGCACCAAGAACCUGGCAGAGAUCCUGUCUGACCGUGAAGAAAUCGCACACAGUAUGCAGUCAACCCUGGACGAUGCUACAGACGACUGGGGGAUCAAGGUGGAGCGGGUGGAGAUCAAGGACGUCAAGCUGCCGCUUCAGCUCCAGAGAGCAAUGGCAGCUGAGGCUGAGGCCAGCCGUGAGGCCAGAGCCAAGGUGAUAGCAGCGGAGGGAGAGAUGAACGCGUCGCGGGCGCUGAAGGAGGCCUCCCUGGUGAUCGCCGAGUCUCCAUCAGGCCUUCAGCUGCGUUACCUUCAAACCCUCAACACCAUCGCCGCCGAGAAGAACUCCACCAUCAUCUUCCCGCUGCCAAUGGAGAUGAUGCAGGGCUUCAUGAAACGCUGAGGGGGAGUCCCAAAACACAUCGUUCACAUGCACACACUCACACAACAUGCAUAACACACACAUAUUUAGGCCAUGUGUCUAUUAAGCCAGCAGUGCUAAGAUGAAGCUUAGGAAGAUGUGCAUUUGAACACACCUUAAAGAACAUAGCUGACAGCCAGGCUAAAUGCACGUAUGAUCUGAACCUGUGUGAGAGGAGAGAGCAGUAGUCUGCAUUCAUUAUUUAAAAAAGAUAUGUGGCCUUACACACACACACACACACACACACACACACACACACACACACACACACACACACACACACGUUCCUGUUCUUAUACAUCUAAUGCUGUAUCUCCUGAUAGUGUGCUCCACUCUUGACUUUCAUCUGCAGAGUGAGAGAAAGAAACACUGGCAUGCUGGUAUAAAGAUCCUCCAUGAGAUGGAUCCAUGCAAAAGCUGCAAUGACGUAAUCUCCCUUGACUGUUAGGUUUGCUGUAACACAUCACAAUACUAACCAGCACGAGAGAAAGAAGAGAUGUUGCCACGUGCAUCACUGCAACAGAAACACAUUGUGCUGCUGAUCCAGUGUUCUCCACUUUCUCAGGCAGCAUUUGUGUCCAAAUGAGGAUUUCAGAUCACUUCUCUUAUAAUCUGGAAAGAGAAACCCUGCUUAUGAAAUUAAAGUAGUACUUCAUUGCUAUUUAAAAAAAGUUAUACAUAUCCAUCUUAUUUUUUUAAAGUUAAAAUUGAAAUUGAGUUUUUAAUUUCUGCAGCUAACAACAUUUAUUUUGUACAGUUUGAUAAUGUUUGAUAUAGUUUUAUCCUGACAUAAUACGAUAAAUAAAGACGCUAUCAAAAAGCA